GCAAAGUGGCAAAGUGGUUAGCACCACUGCCUCACAGGAAGAAGGUCGUGGGUUCGAAUCCGGCCUGCG